UGUGCAAUGUACCAGUGUAUCAAGAAGUAUUGUUUGUAUAUCCUCCUAGUGAGCGUUUUGUGUUUGAUUAUCCAAUUUUUGAACUUGCACAUGCAACUGCAUUGGAUUCAGCUGCACCUCACUGAGGACAUCCUGGGCUUUGCAGACAUGUGACAUACGUGGGGGUGUGACUUAGAACAAGUUCAUUUCCUGGUAUUUCUAAAUGUCGUCCAUCAGCACAUUUUAUGGAAAGAGAAAUGAUAAGAGGCAGUCCUUCUCUCACAGCCCAGGAUGGUGCAUGAUGAGCGGACUAAAUUCAUCCAUGAAACACUGGCGCUGUGUCUUCAGCACCAGGCUGAUCAGCACCAGGCUGCUCACCCUUCUCACACAGCCCAGGGUGGUGCAUGGAGACUGGACUAAAUUCAUCCGCAGCAAACACGAGUCCUGAUCCAACAGCAACAAUGGAGACAUGAAAGCUGAAUAUCUGGCCCACAUGUGAACACAGAUGUGCACAG